rnacentral:rRNA from 1 species
AUUGAACGCUGGCGGCAGGCCUAACACAUGCAAGUCGAGCGAGCGGCGGACGGGUGAGUAAUGUCUGGGAAACUGCCUGAUGGAGGGGGAUAACUACUGGAAACGGGAGCUAAUACCGCAUACCAUCAGAUGUGCCCAGAUGGGAUUGGCUAGUAGGUGGGGAAACGGCUCACCUAGGCGACGAUCCCUAGCUGGUCUGAGAGGAUGACCAGCCACACUGGACCUGGGACACGGUCCAGCCUCUUACGGGAGGCAGCGUUGGGAAUUAGUGCACAAUGGGGGCAAGCCUGAGGCAGCCAUGCCGCGUGUGUGUAGAAGGCCUUCGGGUUUUAAAGCACUUUCAGCGGGGAGGCGUUACCCGCAGAAGAAGCACCGGCUAACUCCGUGCCAGCAGCCGCGGUAAUUC